rnacentral:rRNA from 1 species
UGGCCGCGGGAUUAGAGUUUGAUCAUGGCUCAGGAUGAACGCUGGCGGCGUGCCUAAUACAUGCAAGUCGAACGGAGAGCUAGAUUUCGGUUUAGCUUUCAGUGGCGAACGGGUGAGUAACGCGUAGGUGACCUGCCCCGAAGUGGGGGAUAACAGCUCGAAAGGGCUGCUAAUACCGCAUGCGCUCCUGGGGAUUAGAAAACCGGGAGCAAAGGAUGCUUGCAUUCGCUUCGGGAGGGGCCUGCGUCCCAUCAGCUAGUUGGUAGGGUAACGGCCUACCAAGGCGACGACGGGUAGGGGGCCUGAGAGGGUGACCCCCCACACUGGCACUGAAACACGGGCCAGACACCUACGGGUGGCAGCAGUAGGGAAUAUUGCACAAUGGACGCAAGUCUGAUGCAGCAACGCCGCGUGCCCGAUGAAGGCCUUCGGGUUGUAAAGGGCUUUUCGGGGAGAGGAGCAAGGACAGUAUCCCCGGAAGAAGGAUCGGCUAACUACGUGCCAGCAGCCGCGGUAAAACGUAGGAUCCGAGCGUUAUCCGAAUUCACUGGGCGUAAAGCGCGUGCAGGCGGCCGAGUAAGUUGGAUGUGAAAUCUCCCGGCUCAACUGGGAGGCGACGUUCAAGACUGCCCGGCUCGAGGACGGUAGAGGGAGGUGGAAUUCCCGGUGUAGUGGUGAAAUGCGUAGAGAUCGGGAGGAACACCAGUGGCGAAGGCGGCCUCCUGGGCCGUACCUGACGCUCAGACGCGAAAGCUAGGGGAGCGAACGGGAUUAGAAACCCCGGUAGUCCUAGCCGUAAACGAUGUA